UGGCCAUGGAGCACUACCCCAUGACCGAUGCCUUCGAUGCCAUGCUUCAAGCCGGCAACAUUGUCUUCACCGUGUUUUUCACAAUGGAGAUGGCCUUCAAGAUCAUUGCCUUCGACCCCUACUAUUACUUCCAGAAGAAGUGGAAUAUCUUCGACUGUGUCAUCGUCACCGUGAGCCUUCUGGAGCUGAGCGCAUCCAAGAAGGGCAGCCUGUCUGUGCUCCGUACCUUCCGCUUGCUGCGGGUCUUCAAGCUGGCCAAGUCCUGGCCCACCCUGAACACCCUCAUCAAGAUCAUCGGGAACUCCGUGGGGGCCCUGGGCAACCUGACCUUUAUCCUGGCCAUCAUCGUCUUCAUCUUCGCCCUGGUCGGAAAGCAGCUUCUCUCAGAGGACUACGGGUGCCGCAAGGACGGCGUCUCCGUGUGGAACGGCGAGAAGCUCCGCUGGCACAUGUGUGACUUCUUCCAUUCCUUCCUGGUCGUCUUCCGAAUCCUCUGCGGGGAGUGGAUCGAGAACAUGUGGGUCUGCAUGGAGGUCAGCCAGAAAUCCAUCUGCCUCAUCCUCUUCUUGACUGUGAUGGUGCU
rnacentral:lncRNA from 1 species